CGUCGAUGUCGCGACUGGCGUCUGGGUGGGUCACCACCGGGGAGCGACCGUCAUGGAUUCGACCGCGCGCCUGGGCCGAUGAG
rfam:Microbacterium azadirachtae strain DSM 23848 RL72_contig000059, whole genome shotgun sequence.